AGGGUGUAAACGCUGCGGGCUUGGUGUUGGGGGUCCUUAGUGGGCGCCCAGCGCCGGAGAGAAGUUGUUAAGCCUGCUGCUUGGGGAGUAUGUCCGCAAGGAUGAAACUUAAAGGAAUUGGCGGGGGAGCACCGCAACGGGAGGAGCGUGCGGUUCAAUUGGAUUCAACGCCGAAAAACUCACCAGGAGCGACGGUUACAUGAAGGCCAGGCUGAUGACCUUGCCUGAUUUUCCGAGAGGAGGUGCAUGGCGU
rnacentral:rRNA from 1 species